AUUGAUGAUUGUACAGUAGUGUUUAUUAGAUACAGAACCAACAGUGCGCCAUCACUUUUUAGUGGUGGUGUCAAAAGAGAAGGGUGAUUCAUAGUAACCGAACGGAUCGCAUCAUAUUAUAAUCAUUUCGGUGAUUGGCGAUAGAUCAUUCAAGUUUCUGACCUAUCAUCUUUCGACGGUAGUGUAUUGGACUACCGUGGCAGUGACGGGUAACGGGGAAUUAGGGUUCGAUUCCGGAGAGGGAGCCUGAGAAACGGCUACCACAUCUAAGGAAGGCAGCAGGCGCGCAAAUUACCCAAUCCUGACUCAGGGAGGUAGUGACAAGAAAUAACAACACUGGAAAUUGUAUUUCUAGUGAUUGGAAUGAUGGGAAUCCAAACCCCUUUCAGAGUAACAAUUGGAGGGCAAGUCUGGUGCCAGCAGCCGCGGUAAUUCCAGCUCCAAUAGCGUAUAUUAAAGUUGUUGCAGUUAAAAAGCUCGUAGUUGGAUAUCUGCUGGAAGCAAUCAGUCCGCCCUUUUCGUAAGGGUGUGCACUUGAUGAAUUCUGGCAUGAUUUCAUCCUAAUAAUAAUAUAUUAUUAUAUUAGGUUGAUUCCUAGUAUAAUAAUAUUUAUUAUUAUGGGGAUGACAGUUACUUUGAGAAAAUUAGAGUGUUUGAAGCAGGCUUUUGUUGCCUUGAAUACUGCAGCAUGGAAUAACAAUAUAGGAUUUCGGUUCUAUUAUUUUGUUGGUUUUUU
rnacentral:rRNA from 1 species